UUCCCGGGGAGGCCCUGGCCCCCGAGGAGACCCUCCCGGUCCACCCCGGAUCAGACUCGCGGGCUCUGGCCCAAGGGAAUGGGACGACGGGACUCUUUCUGGGCUGAGUGCGGGCGGGGGUGGGGAGGGGGACGACGCUGACGAGGUGCAGGGCUGAGCCGGAAAGGGAAAUGGAGGGAGUAGUGGAGCUGGGGAGCUCACUGGGGCCUUUCACUUUCCCUCCCAGGCCAGAAACCCGGUGGGGCGUGCCGGGCCUUCCCCGGCCAUCUCGGGCGAGCUGGAGACUGCUGCCCGCCCCUUGGCGGGUCUACCCCGUGCUUGACAGAGCCCAGAAGCACCGUCAGACCACUCGCGCUGCAGAGUGCUGCUGGAGGGAAUGUAUGUACUAGGACGACCUCGACAAUCUCAUAGCUGGUGAGAAGGAAUUUAACUUUACCUGUCUUCUGCUCAGCUACAGCGAUUUCCCCUCCCUGA
rnacentral:lncRNA from 1 species